rnacentral:rRNA from 1 species
UACGUAGGUGGCAAGCGUUGUCCGGAUUUACUGGGCGUAAAGGAGCGCGCAGGCGGUCGUUCAAGUCGCGUGUGAAAGCCCCCGGCUCAACUGGGGAGGGUCACGCGAUACUGAUCGACUCGAAGGCAGGAGAGGGUAGUGGAAUUCCCGGUGUAGUGGUGAAAUGCGUAGAUAUCGGGAGGAACACCAGUGGCGAAGGCGACUACCUGGCCCGUAACUGACGCUGAGGUGCGAAAGCGUGGGGAGCAAACAGG